UAUUCUGUUAAUUCUUAUUUCUUUUCUGUGUUUAUGUUCUGUAAAGCUGCUUUGAGACAAUGUCUAUUGUAAAAAGCGCUAUACAAAUAAACUUGAAUUGAAUUGAAUUGAAUAUUUAACUGCAUAUGAUGUAUAGGCUACUGUGAUCUUAGUCUGACAUGUUACUCUUUUCAUGUAUUAUUUUCUUUGAUAAUAUUGAGAAUUUAAGGGGUUGUGUGUUCUUAUAGAUACUGAUGGACAGAUUGUAUUAUUGGACCCUCCAGAAAGAACACAGUCUGUGACAGUUGAUGAAGAUGACUAUGAAGAGACCACAUCUGCUGUGACAGAAGUGGACAAUGCUGGUAGAUCCACUGAGGAUCCUCAUCAAAAGGGCACGCCAUGCUCACCAACCUUCUGCAACGAAGUUACCCUGAAACAUAACCUGCUCCCGAGCAGGUUAUCUUCAGAGAGUCAGUUGCUAUGGUUACAUACAUACCCAGAAAGUUACCUCCGUUUUUGGAACCGAAAGUUGAGGUUAUCCACGAACUUACCCUUAAACAUACCCAGGUAUGUCACAUAACCUGCUUUCUGGAAUACCCCCCUGGAGUGGUUCAUGGAACGAUGAUUGGCGGCUGAAUCGUCCAAUCACAGGACCUGCAAGGCGGGACAGUGAAUAAAGGAGGAAAGAGAGAGAAAACAAUACGGGACGUAACAAUUGCUUCUGUGGACAGAUGUCUUUAAUACAGGUAAUGAGCCGAAAUUUGGAGCACUCCCUUUAUGAGAUUUAAGCACUACCCUUUAAGAGAGUACUCCUAAUCUCAGCUCAUUACCUGUAUACCUGGGAUCAGAAAUCUUGCUGAUUGAUAGGGGAUCAAAUACUUAUUUCACUCAUUAAAAUCAUUAUAACUUUUUUGAAAUGCAUUUAUUUGGAUUUUUUGUUGUUAUUCUGUCUCUCACAGUUAAAAUAAAC